GCUCGUAGUUGGAUUUUGGGCGCAGGCGGCCGGUCCGUCGCAAGGCGUGUACUGGCCGUCCUGGCCUCACCUCCGGUUCUCCGCCGGUGCCCUUGACUGAGUGUCGGCGGCGGCCGGAACGUUUACUUUGAAAAAAUUAGAGUGUUCAAAGCAGGCGAUUCGCCUGAAUAAUGGUGCAUGGAAUAAUGGAAUAGGACCUCGGUUCUAUUUUGUUGGUUUUCGGAGCGCGAGGUAAUGAUUAAGAGGGACAGACGGGGGCAUUCGUACUGUGCCGUUAGAGGUGAAAUUCUUGGAUCGGCGCAAGACGAACGACUGCGAAAGCAUUUGCCAAGAAUGUUUUCUUUAAUCAAGAGCGAAAGUCAGAGGUUCGAAGACGAUCAGAUACCGUCCUAGUUCUGACUAUAAACGAUGCCAACUAGCGAUCGGGGGGCGUUAGUUUUACGACCUCUCCGGCAGCUUGCGGGAAACCAAAGUCUUUGGGUUCCGGGGGAAGUAUGGUUGCAAAGCUGAAACUUAAAGGAAUUGACGGAAGGGCACCACCAGGAGUGGAGCCUGCGGCUUAAUUUGACUCAACACGGGAAAUCUCACCCGGCCCGGACACAGUGAGGAUUGACAGAUUGAGAGCUCUUUCUUGAUUCUGUGGGUGGUGGUGCAUGGCCGUUCUUAGUUGGUGGAGCGAUUUGUCUGGUUAAUUCCGAUAACGAACGAGACUCUGGCUUGCUAACUAGUUACGCGACCCAAUCGGUCGGCGUCUAACUUCUUAGAGGGACUAGUGGCGUUUAGCCACACGAGAUUGAGCAAUAACAGGUCUGUGAUGCCCUUAGAUGUUCGGGGCCGCACGCGCGCUACACUGACCGGAUCAGCAUGUGCUCGCCUUGGCCGACAGGUCUGGGUAACCCGCUGAACCCCGGUCGUGCUAGGGAUAGGGAAUUGCAAUU
rnacentral:rRNA from 1 species